AUAUAUAUUUAUUCAUGAAUAAAAACAUCUGAAAGGAAUUAUUCAGCAAAUGGAAGAUUGUUGUUGCCCCACUAUUGAGUAGGAAAACUAUAAAGCAUAACCAAUAAAAUUAGCAUGACAAUUUCUAAAGUACUGUUACCACAAUAUACAUUUAAAUAAAAAUAAAUGAAAGGAACCUAAAAAGAAAAUAUAAGAAAAGAGAGAGAUAAGAGAGAAAUUG
rnacentral:misc_RNA from 1 species